rnacentral:lncRNA from 10 species
UUUUUUGUUUUGUUUUUUAAACACUGGUCAUUCUGGUGAAGUUUUUUGUUGUUGUUAAGCUAAUUUUUUUUCCAUUGUAUAUGUGCUUCCACUUUGUGGACACAGUAAAUUUCACCUAAGUUAUUUCAUAUCACAGAAAAUUUAAUAGGGGUUGAUGAUUAAGGAAGUAGAUUUAAAAUAUAUAGGAAUUUUGAGACUGAACUGUCAAUUGUUUCAAUAGACAAAUCCAAUUUAGAACUCAUGCUGAUUUUUUAAAAUUCCAAAUACGAGUCAAAGAACUUUCAAAAUAACGAAGUGAUUUUAUUCAUUCAAGCAGUAUUUAUGUGCUAAAGUGAUUGGGCUGAAUACCAUGCCUGGCCUCUGGGUAGACAAGAGUGAAGAUACCAUUCCUGCUUCAAACAGCUCACAGUCCCAGGUUAGAGAGAGAAAUGGAAUAUAAAAGUAGUAUGAGGAUUAUACAGCAGAAUUCCAAGCCCCAGUUUUAUGCAGAACAUCGAGUAAAUGAUUCUUUUCUGUGAAGACAGGAGCUAAAUGUUUCACAGUAUGUUCAUUUCAGAAUGAUGGCUAAACUUUAGUAGAAAGUCUUGCUUCUUGGUAUAGUCAUAUUUGAAGUAAUCUUAUUCCUUGAUAUCAUAUUGAUUUAUGACUUCCCAAAAAUAUUUUUUGAAAGCCACUAUGUUUUGGCUGUUGGGUUCCCAGGAGGAAUUACCAUUUAUUUUCACCCAUCUUUGGCUGCUGCUGAGAAAGACUUUUCUCCAGCCCUGGUACCUCUCCCUUUAGGCUUUCCUGGGCGCUUUCUUUGGAUCCAAAGCCAAGUCCUAGUGUGAUGUAUCCCUAAGGGUACAAUCCUCAUAGUCCUAGUACUAAAGCCAUUGCCAGUCUCAAAGUCUUUCAUAUUCCCAUGAGAUACCAUUUAACAUUGAAAUUCAACCACUGUCCUUUAAUCCUUUUACUAUGGUCUUGUCUGAGAAGGAUUUUAUCUAAAAAUAGUAGCUUUGCACUUAAUCUCUGCAGUCUAUAUAAAUUUAGGAUAACAUUCCUCUUCCUUCAGACUGUUUGUCCUUUCGUUGGUGUGAAAGUAUACAGAGUACCCUUGAAGGUGGGAGCGCCAUGGUGUUUUUCCUUGAGUUUCCUAUCGCUAAUGUUUAAUUGCAAUUGGAAUGGAAGUGCUCAAUAAAUAUUUGUUGAGUGAAUAAAUGCCACUAUAUCCUGUUUCCUACCUGUCCCUAGAGAAUUGUCAAGUCAACUGAUAGACUUAGCCCUGAUAUUGGUGU